AAGCUAAGUUUAGCAGCACAUACACUAAAAUUGAAACAGUCUAGAGAAGAUUAGCCUGGCUCCUGUGCAGGAAAGACUCCCAAAAUCAUGACGUGUUCCAUGUUUUU
ensembl:snRNA U6 U6 spliceosomal RNA